GUGCCAGCCGCCGCGGUAAUACGUAGGGGGCGAGCGUUGUCCGGAAUUACUGGGCGUAAAGAGCGUGUAGGCGGGUGCUUAAGUCAGGUGUGAAAGACCGGGGCUCAACUCCGGGGUUGCACUUGAAACUGGGCAUCUUGAGGGCAGGAGAGGAAAGUGGAAUUCCUGGUGUAGCGGUGAAAUGCGUAGAUAUCAGGAGGAACACCGGUGGCGAAGGCGGCUUUCUGGACUGACCCUGACGCUGAGACGCGAAAGCGUGGGGAGCAAACAGGAUUAGAUACCCUGGUAGUCCACGCUGUAAACGAUGGGCACUAGGUGUAGGAGGUAUCGACCCCUUCUGUGCCGCAGCUAACGCAAUAAGUGCCCCGCCUGGGGAGUACGGUCGCAAGGCUGAAACUCAAAUAAAUUGACGG
rnacentral:rRNA from 1 species